GGCGAACGCUGGCGGCGUGCUUAACACAUGCAAGUCGAGCGGGAUCCAACCGGUGGCAACACCGGGGAAGAUCUAGCGGCGAACGGGUGAGUAACACGUGAGCAACCUGCCCCGAAGACUGGGAUAACACCGGGAAACCGGUGCUAAUACCGGAUGUCGUCAUUAGGCCGCAUGACCUGAUGAUGAAAGGAUUCAUCGCUUCGGGAGGGGCUCGCGGGCUAUCAGCUUGNGGUGGGGUAACGGCCUACCAAGGCGACGACGGCUAGCUGGUCUGAGAGGACGACCAGCCACACUGGGACUGAGACACGGCCCAGACUCCUACGGGAGGCAGCAGUGGGGAAUCUUGCGCAAUGGGCGAAAGCCUGACGCAGCAACGCCGC
rnacentral:rRNA from 1 species